AAAUCGGCGGUUCUACAAACGGAACUGACUCAGAAACGGAAGAUUUCCGAAGUGAGGGAACAGGCGAGCAGUCUGCAGACCCACAUCACAUCCGAGUUCACUAAAAUGCACCAGAUUCUCACUGAGAAAGAGCAGCGUUUACUCAGAGAUCUCAGGGAAGAAGAGGAGAGGAUUGUAGAACCAAUGGAGAAAACCCUUCGAGAGAUUCAGGAGAAUUUAAAUUCUAUUGAGGAGAAUCUGUCAAAUUUGCAUAAACUGAUGGGGCAAAAAGACGAAUUGAUCUUUCUGAAGGAGGAAGCUUGUCGGGAGAGAAGGUAGGACAUGCUCUUUACUGAAACUCUGCACAGUUUGCUCAGUAACCCAGGGAUGGGUUAUUAUGGGGUUAUUUCCUGGUUAAUGGUGAUGCUUUAAAGGGUGAUUCAUCGUAUAACAGUAACUCCGGUUAUGGUUCACACACGUGUUUUUUUAUAAGAAGAAGAUUGCUCCAGAUUUUAAACAGUAUUAGAUUUUAUGAAACUGUUCUGCAGUUUUGCAAACAAUGACAAGAUGCCUGUAAAUACAGCCUGGUUCCGAGGCUGGAAGUGAUCAUUGCCCUGAUUUUUGUGACUGUUUGUGUGACUGUGACCUUCCCCCUGACCCUGUGAGAGACACAUGGCCCAUGUUUCCAGGGAAUGGCCAUCCCUGUCACUGCAUGGCUCCUGACCAGCCCUAGACAGUCAGAGUUGAAAUGGGGAAUCAUUUUUGUUUCACUUUUUACAACGUUAACUCGCACCGUAGUCUUUAUAAAGGGAACAAUAAAAGCAAAAUAAAAAAAAACUUUAAUUAGUGUAAUGUAAUGUUCUGAGUACUUUGCAUGAGAGUUGGAAAGUAUAGAAAAGUAUCACUGAGCUAUUAAUCCAGGUGAUUGCUGUUGGUUUUAGCGGAUCAGAAAGGAGGAAAGAGGAAUAGAAAGAUGGAGAGGUUCAGGGAGGGAAUUCCAGAGCUGAGGGUCUGGGCAGCUGAAGGUCCAACCUCCAAUGGGGGUGGGGAGAUAGUCAGGAGGCUGGAAGUGAAGGAGCAGGAUUCUCAGAGGGUUGUGGGACCCAUGUAUUACACACGUAUGUGUAUGAAGGUUGGGGUUGCAACGGAGGGAGUGGAG